rnacentral:rRNA from 1 species
GACGAACGCUGGCGGCGUGGAUUAGGCAUGCAAGUCGAACGGUAUCAUCCUUUCGGGGGUGAGAGAGUGGCGAACUGGUGAGUAACACGUAGGUUAUCUACCCUCAAGACGGGGACAACCCAGGGAAACUUGGGCUAAUACCGGAUGUGAGCAACUUUUAGUUGUUUGAAAGGUGGCGUAAGCUGUCGCUUGGGGAUGAGCCUGCGUCCUAUUAGUUAGUUGGUGAGGUAACGGCUCACCUAGGCAAUGAUAGGUAGGCGGCCUUAACGGGUGGUCGCCCACACUGGGAUUGAGAUACGGCCCAGACUCCUACGGGAGGCAGCAGUCGAGAAUAGUCUACAAUGGUCGGAAGACUGAUAGUGCGACGCCGCGUGAACGAUGAAUCCCUUCGGGGUGUAAAGUUCUUUUAUAUGUGAGCAGUGCUUCUUAUAUUAACAGUAUGGGGAGAGAGAUAUUAGCAUAUGAAUAAGCAACGGCUAACUCCGUGCCAGCAGCCGCGGUAAUCA